rnacentral:rRNA from 1 species
AUUGAACGCUGGCGGCAGGCCUAAUACAUGCAAGUCGGGCGAGCGGAGGACUGGUGAGUAAUGUAUGGGGAUCUGCCUGAUGGAGGGGGCUAACUACUGGAACAGGUAGCUAAUACCGCAUACCAUCAGAUGGAUCCAGAUGGGAUUAGCUUGUAGGUAAGGGAACGGCUUACCUAGGCGACGUUCCCUAGCUGGUCUGAGAGGAUGAUCAGCCACACUGGGACUGAGACACGGCCCAGACUCCUACGGGAGGCAGCAGUGGGGAAUAUUGCACAAUGGGCGCAAGCCUGAUGCAGCCAUGCCGCGUGUAUGAAGAAGGCCUUCGGGUUGUAAAGUACUUUCAGUCGGGAGGCGUUACCGACAGAAGAAGCACCGGCUAACUCCGUGCCAGCAGCCGCGGUAAUAC